AGAGUUUGAUCCUGGCUCAGAAUCAACGCUGGCGGCGUGCCUCAGACAUGCAAGUCGAACGCGAUUCAGGUCUUCGGACUUGGGUUGAGUGGCGCACGGGUGAGUAACACGUAGGUAAUCUACCUUUGGGUGGGGAAUAACAGCCGGAAACGGCUGCUAAUACCGCAUAAUGCAGCGGCAUCACAUGAUGACAGUUGUUAAAGCGGGGGAUCGAAAGACCUCGCGCCAGAAGAGGAGCCUGCGGCAGAUUAGCUAGUUGGUGAGGUAAUGGCUCACCAAGGCAACGAUCUGUAGCCGGCCUGAGAGGGCGGUCGGCCACACUGACACUGACAUACGGGUCAGACUCCUACGGGAGGCAGCAGUCGGGAAUUUUGGGCAAUGGGCGAAAGCCUGACCCAGCAACGCCGCGUGAAGGAUGAAAUCUCUCGGGAUGUAAACUUCGCAAGAAUAGGAAGAAUAAGUAGGGGAUAAUACCCUCUAUGAUGACGGUACUAUUUGUAAGCUCCGGCUAACUCCGUGCCAGCAGCCGCGGUAAUACGGGGGGAGCAAGCGUUGUUCGGAUUUACUGGGCGUAAAGGGCGCGUAGGCGGCGCAACAAGUCACUUGUGAAAUCUCCGGGCUUAACUCGGAACGGUCAAGUGAUACUGUUGUGCUAGAGUGCGGAAGGGGCNCUGGAAUUCUCGGUGUAGCGGUGAAAUGCGUAGAUAUCGAGAGGAACACCUGCGGCGAAGGCGGGUUGCUGGGCCGACACUGACGCUGAUGCGCGAAAGCUAGGGGAGCGAACGGGAUUAGAUACCCCGGUAGUCC
rnacentral:rRNA from 1 species